UUAGGAUUAAGCCUAGGCUUACGCUUAGAUCCAGGAUUUGGCUUAGGUUUAGGCUUAAGCUUAGGCUUAGGCUUAGGCUUAGGCUUAGA
ensembl:ncRNA ZK1025.12 ncRNA